rnacentral:rRNA from 1 species
GCGGGGAAGGAAAGGCUUUGCUUUCUCGCUGACGAGCGGCGGACGGGUGAGUAAUGUAUGGGGAUCUGCCCGAUAGAGGGGGAUAACUACUGGAAACGGUGGCUAAUACCGCAUAAUCUCUUAGGAGCAAAGCAGGGGAACUUCGGUCCUUGCGCUAUCGGAUGAACCCAUAUGGGAUUAGCUAGUAGGUGGGGUAAUGGCUCACCUAGGCGACGAUCCCUAGCUGGUCUGAGAGGAUGAUCAGCCACACUGGGACUGAGACACGGCCCAGACUCCUACGGGAGGCAGCAGUGGGGAAUAUUGCACAAUGGGCGCAAGCCUGAUGCAGCCAUGCCGCGUGUAUGAAGAAGGCCCUAGGGUUGUAAAGUACUUUCAGUCGGGAGGAAGGCGUUGAUGCUAAUAUCAUCAACGAUUGACGUUACCGACAGAAGAAGC